GGCAGCAGGCGCGUAAAUUACCCACUCCCAGCCCGGGGAGGUAGUGACGAAAAAUAACAAUACAGGACUCAUUAUAGAGGCCCUGUAAUUGGAAUGAGUACACUUUAAAUCCUUUAACAAGGACCUAUUGGAGGGCAAGUCUGGUGCCAGCAGCCGCGGUAACUCCAGCUCCAAUAGCGUAUAUUAAAGUUGUUGCGGUUAAAACGUUCGUAGUUGAACUUGUGCUUCAUACGGGUAGUAUAACUAUAAUUGUAGUCUGUACUAUACCUUAUGUAUGUAAGCGUAUUACCGGUGGAGUUCUUAUAUGUAUUAAAUACUUGUAUUUAUAUGUAUUCCUCCUAUUUAAACCUGCUUCAGUGCUCUUCAUUGCGUGCUGUUGUAGGCCGGUACAAUUACUUUGAACAAAUUAGAGUGCUUAAAGCAGGCUCCAAAUGCCUGAAUAUUUUGUGCAUGGAAUAAUGAAAUAAGACCUCUGUUCUACUUUCAUUGGUUUUUAGAUCAAGAGGUAAUGAUUAAUAGAAGCAGUUUGGGGGCAUUAGUAUUACGACGCGAGAGGUGAAAUUCUUGGACCGUCGUAAGACUAACUUAAGCGAAAGCAUUUGCCAAAGAUGUUUUCAUUAAUCAAGAACGAAAGUUAGAGGUUCGAAGGCGAUCAGAUACCGCCCUAGUUCUAACCAUAAACGAUGCCAGCUAGCAAUUGGGUGUAGCUACUAUUAUGGCU
rnacentral:rRNA from 1 species